rnacentral:rRNA from 1 species
UAGCUAGUUGGUGAGGUAACGGCUUACCAAGGCGACGAUCUGUAGCGGGUCUGAGAGGAUGAUCCGCCACACUGGAACUGAGACACGGUCCAGACUCCUACGGGAGGCAGCAGUGGGGAAUUUUGGACAAUGGGGGCAACCCUGAUCCAGCCAUGCCGCGUGAGUGAAGAAGGCCUUCGGGUUGUAAAGCUCUUUCGGCCGGGAAGAAAUCGCAUGGGCCAAUACCCUGUGUGGAUGACGGUACCGGAAUAAGAAGCACCGGCUAACUACGUGCCAGCAGCCGCGGUAAUACGUAGGGUGCGAGCGUUAAUCGGAAUCACUGGGCGUAAAGCGUGCGCAGGCGGUUUUGUAAGACAGGCGUGAAAUCCCCGGGCUCAACCUGGGAACUGCGUUUGUGACUGCAAGGCUAGAGUACGGCAGAGGGGGGUGGAAUUCCACGUGUAGCAGUGAAAUGCGUAGAGAUGUGGAGGAACACCAAUGGCGAAGGCAGCCCCCUGGGUCGAUACUGACGCUCAUGCACGAAAGCGUGGGUAGCAAACAGGAUUAGAUACCCUGGUAGUCCACGCCCUAAACUAUGUCAACUAGGUGUAGGGUGGGUAAAACCAUUUAGUACCGUAGCUAACGCGUGAAGUUGACCGCCUGGGGAGUACGGCCGCAAGGUUAAAACUCAAAGGAAUUGACGGGGACCCGCACAAGCGGUGGAUGAUGUGGAUUAAUUCGAUGCAACGCGAAAAACCUUACCUACCCUUGACAUGCCAGGAACUUGCCAGAGAUGGCUUGGUGCCCGAAAGGGAGCCUGGACACAGGUGCUGCAUGGCUGUCGUCAGCUCGUGUCGUGAGAUGUUGGGUUAAGCCCCGCAACGAGCGCAACCCUUGUCGUUAAUUGCCAUCAUUUAGUUGGGCACUUUAGCGAGACUGCCGGUGACAAACCGGAGGAAGGUGGGGAUGACGUCAAGUCCUCAUGGCCCUUAUGGGUAGGGCUUCACACGUCAUACAAUGGUCGGUACAAAGGGUCGCCAAGCCGCGAGGUGGAGCCAAUCCCAGAAAGCCGAUCGUAGUCCGGAUUGCAGGCUGCAACUCGCCUGCAUGAAGUCGGAAUCGCUAGUAAUCGUGGAUCAGCAUGUCACGGUGAAUACGUUCCCGGGUCUUGUACACACCGCCCGUCACACCAUGGGAGCGGGUUCCGCCAGAAGUAGGUAGCCUAACCGCAAGGAGGGCGCUUACCACGGCGGGGUUCGUGACUGGGGUGAAGUCGAACAAGGUAGCCGUAGGGGUACCUGCGGCUG